rnacentral:tRNA from 1 species
UCAUGGGUCUUGGCUCAAUGGUUGAGCAUCUAUUUUGCAUGCAGAAGCUCCCAGAUUCAAUCCCUGGCAUUGUAAG